CGUGUGACGUCAGGGCGUGAUGACGCGUUUCACCGGUAUGCCGGCUACCUCAGAUGGAGUGCUCCUAACCUUUACCUGAAUAAAAGACACCUAUCCACAGAAGCAAUCAAUCAGAUUCCAAACUCUCCACCAUGGCUAAGACCAAAGAGCAGUCGAAGGAUGUCAGGAACAAGAUUGUAGACCUAUACAAGGCUGGAAUGGGCUACAAGACCAUCGCCAAGCACCUUGGUGAGAAGGUGACAACAGUUGGUGCGAUUAUUCGCAAAUGGAAGAAACACUAAAUAACUGUCAGUCUCCCUUGGUCUGGUUCUCCAUGCAAGAUCUCACCUCAUGGAGUUCAAUGAUCAUGAGAAGGGUGAGGAAUCAGCCUAGAACUAUAUGUGAGAAUCUUGUUAAAGGGACACCCAGACCACUUGUAAUGGUAUUUAUUAAUUACGGAUAUAAAUUUCAGCGCUUAGUUAAUAAUCCCCUUAUAAAUAACAAGGGUGCAUCUAUAUGCAAGUGGUAUGUAUGA